GGUGAGGUGGCCGAGUGGUUGAAGGCGCACGCCUGGAACGCGUGUAUGGGGGAAACUCCAUCGAGGGUUCGAAUCCCUCUCUCACCGCCA
rnacentral:tRNA from 1 species